rnacentral:rRNA from 1 species
UACGAAGGGGGCUAGCGUUGUUCGGAAUUACUGGGCGUAAAGCGCGCGCAGGCGGCCUUUCAAGUCAGGGGUGAAAGCCCGGAGCUCAACUCCGGAAUUGCCUUUGAAACUGUCAGGCUCGAGUACGGGAGAGGUGAGUGGAAUUCCGAGUGUAGAGGUGAAAUUCGUAGAUAUUCGGAAGAACACCAGUGGCGAAGGCGACUUACUGGACACAUAUUGACGCUGAGGUGCGAAAGCGUGGGGAGCAAACAGG